rnacentral:rRNA from 1 species
GACGAACGCUGGCGGCGUGCUUAACACAUGCAAGUCGAGCGGUAAGGCCCUUUCGGGGGUACACGAGCGGCGAACGGGUGAGUAACACGUGGGUGACCUGCCCUCAGCUCUGGGAUAAGCCUGGGAAACCGGGUCUAAUACCGGAUAUGACUCCAUGACGCAUGUUGUGGGGUGGAAAGCCUUGUGCGGCUGAGGAUGGGCCCGCGGCCUAUCAGCUUGUUGGUGGGGUGANGGCCUACCAAGGCGACGACGGGUAGCCGGCCUGAGAGGGCGACCGGCCACACUGGGACUGAGACACGGGCCCAGACUCCUACGGGAGGCAGCAGUGGGGAAUCUUGCGCAAUGGGCGAAAGCCUGACGCAGCGACGCCGCGUGAGGGAUGACGGCCUCGGUUGUAAC